UAUUUAAUUUCAUCGAAAAUAGGCUACCUGAACUAAAAAAAAUAAUAAUUUUCUAAUAAAAUUUUGAUUAAAAUGUAGCUAGUUACUACUAAUGCUCUACUUUGAACUUUGAAGACACCAUCUUCCCUAGGCCACGAGUGCAACAAAAGAGACCACACCUCCGCGUGUGGUGUUUAGAAAAUGAAACAGAAGUUUGGAGGGGGCAGACAACCCACGGGUACUCCGUCGCUGGCGUGGUCGUGUGCUGUUAUCGUGGUCUCGCUCCUCGCAGGCGCAUCCGUUGUCCAUAACACAUAUAAGCCUGAUCUCACAUUGCCUCCGGUGGAGAGUGUUAAUGGGGUUAAGCUGAAACAACCUGAAAAGGAAUGACUUUGGUCUUUUCGGCAUUAUGUUGGACCCGUAUUGAUUUCAAUACAGUCUUGGAAGGAACGAAAUUUGUUCUUUACUUGUCACAAGAAGCUCGGAAAAAGCUGCUGUCGCCAUUUGAUUAUAGGUAAUCUUUUCUUUUCUUGUCUUAAUAAGAGUUGUAAUGGGUUUUAAUUCUUAAGCUUGAUAAUUGUAAUCCAUUUCAUCAAAGUUGUUCUUUUUAGUCA